GUUUAUUUGGAUAUGUGAGGGUUGGGGAGCUGCUUGAGGAUACAGUCUGUCCUUUAUAGGAGCUCACGUGCUGAGCUGUGAGCAUCGUUGUUCAUUCAUGGCUGUGAGGC